GACGAACGCUGACGGCGUGCUUAACACAUGCAAGUCGAACGGAAAGGCCCUGCUUUUGUGGGGUGCUCGAGUGGCGAACGGGUGAGUAACACGUGAGUAACCUGCCCUUGACUUUGGGAUAACUUCAGGAAACUGGGGCGAAUACCGGAUAGGAGCUCCUGCUGCAUGGGGGGGGUUGGAAAGUUUCGGCGGUGUGGGAUGGAUUCGCGGCUUAUCAGCUUGUUGGGGGGGUAGUGGCUUACCAAGGCUUUGACGGGUAGCCGGCCUGAGAGGGUGACCGGCCACAUUGGGCCUGAGGUACGGCGCAGACUGCUACGGGAGGCAGCGGUGGGGAAUAUUGCACAACGGGCGGACGCCUGAUACAGCAACGCCGCGUGCGGGAUGACGUCCUUCGGGUUGUAAACCGCUUUCGCCUGUGACGAAGCGUUAGUGACGGUAAUGGGUAAGAAAGCACCGGCUAACUACGUG
rnacentral:rRNA from 1 species